rnacentral:piRNA from 1 species
UGGAAAUCCUGCUGAAGAUAUUUGUCCCA